AACGAACGCUGGCGGCAUGCCUAACACAUGCAAGUCGAACGAGACCUUCGGGUCUAGUGGCGCACGGGUGCGUAACGCGUGGGAACCUGCCCUUAGGGUCGGAAUAACUCCCCGAAAGGGGUGCUAAUACCGGAUAAUGUCUACGGACCAAAGAUUUAUCGCCUUUGGAUGGGCCCGCGUUGGAUUAGCUAGUUGGUAGGGUAAAAGCUUACCAAGGCGACGAUCCAUAGCUGGUCUGAGAGGAUGAUCAGCCACACUGGGACUGAGACACGGCCCAGACUCCUACGGGAGGCAGCAGAGGGGAAUAUUGGACAAGGGGCGAAAGUCUGAUCCAGCAAUGCCGCGUGAGAGAUGAAGGCCUUAGGGUUGUAAAGCUCUUUUACCCGGGAUGAUAAUGACAGUACCGGGAGAAUAAGCUCCGGCUAACUACGUG
rnacentral:rRNA from 1 species